AAACCAAUGUUCAUUUGGAUUUUCUUUGUAUUGACCAUUCAUUAUUAUUUUCCAGGUCCAACACAAGCAGGCAUCGUUGGCCGUAAAAGACAAAAGGGAGAGAUGUUCGUUGGUCUUAUGGGACGUCGGUCUUCAAGUGCUGAGGCACCAUCUGAAUGGGAAAGAAUCCAGUACUAUGGUCGAAGGCGCAAAUAAAAUAAUACAAGUGUAAAACCAUCUGAAUGUCCCCUACACCGUUCCAUCAGGAAGGGGAAUUUUUUGGCUAAAUAACCAGUAACUCAAAAUUUGUGCUUACGUUCCUUGGAAUUUACCAACCAUAAACACUGAUGCAAAACCUCCACUUAAAACAAA